GACGAACCGUGCGAACGUUGUUCGGAAUUAUUGGGCGUAAAGAGCUCGUAGGCGGCUCGUCACGUCGGCUGUGAAAACCCGGGGCUCAACCCCGGGCCUGCAGUCGAUACGGGCGAGCUAGAGUUCGGCAGGGGAGACUGGAAUUCCUGGUGUAGCGGUGAAAUGCGCAGAUAUCAGGAGGAACACCGGUGGCGAAGGCGGGUCUCUGGGCCGAUACUGACGCUGAGGAGCGAAAGCGUGGGGAGCGAACAGG
rnacentral:rRNA from 1 species